UACGGAGGAUUCGAGCGUUAUCCGGAUUUAUUGGGUUUAAAGGGAGCGUAGGCGGGUUGUUAAGUCAGUUGUGAAAGUUUGCGGCUCAACCGUAAAAUUGCAGUUGAUACUGGCAUCCUUGAGUACAGUAGAGGUAGGCGGAAUUCGUGGUAUAGCGGUGAAAUGCUUAGAUAUCACGAAGAACUCCGAUUGCGAAGGCAGCCUGCUGGACUGUAACUGACGCUGAUGCUCGAAAGUGUGGGUAUCAAACAGG
rnacentral:rRNA from 1 species